GUUUGAUUGGCAAGUUUAUGUGCUUAUUUGUCGCCGAAUUUUGAACGCAUUGAUUUUUGAGAGUACUUUUAUCGCCAUGACAAAACAACAAAACUACAAGCAUUGUUGAACACUUCAACAUUGCUUCUAUUUCUGCCCGAAAAGAAACAUUUCAAAACACAAAAACUGAAUUACAACAACAAGACUUUAAAAUGAAGAAAAAAGUAGUAACAUAGAAUAAUUGGAGCAUUUAAACGAGUAAAAAUGGAAACAAUCAGUUUAGUUGCCUUGUCACAAGAACACGACAUUAGACUAGAAAUAAAAAACACUUUUGGGCGUGAAAAACAGUCGGUAUGCCUAUUAAUAUCGAACAGCUCAAAAAGUCGAUUAAAUCAAAUGGAAUUGCCGUUUUCGUCCGAAUGAUGCGAUAAACUGAAUUCACUUGUUCAAAAACAACAAAAUAUAACAGUUUUUCAAAAAGAAGUUGUUGAAUGUUCAUACAAAAUCUUCAGAAAACAUUCGGCCCGUAUAAUAAUAAAAGCAUUUUCACAUAAAUUCGAACCGGAAGUAAACACGAGGUGUAUGCCACAAUUUUCACGUCCUGAUUGACGUCGCGUCGAUUUUGCUAAAACAGCCCAAUUUAAACUGCGAGACGCCCACGUAGCCUAUCUCGCGGGAUAUUCCUGAGAUGAAAAUUAUAUUCAGACUUGUGUUAUAAAGUGGUUACGCAAAGAUGUAAUAUUGUAAUGUUAAUAUCAAUAAGGAAUAGUAACUGUAACUAUACGUAAAACCAUCUGAUGGUACGUGUGAGCCUUAUAUAGGCACCCAAUUAAAAAAGAAUUAAGGUCGGCCAUGACGUAAUGAGAAGAUUUGUUGACCAUAAUUAUGUGGUAAUGAUUCAUACAUACAACAACAAAGCAUAGUUCAAGUAGACGUGACGACUCAUGUGCAAAACAGUGUGAUCACGUAUGAGUACAGUUCGGACAUUUGGGGAAGAGAAUCACGGUAUUUGUUGAACUCAAUCCCCUCUCCCACACCCUUCCCCACUCUCAAUUAUAUCUUAAGGUAAAGAGCAACAACCAAUGUGGGUACGGAAAUCGGAAUCAAACAACGAAUGUCCGUAUUUACUUUCAAAUCACGACGUUAUAAGUAAGAGUUAUAUACCAAGGAUGGACGCUUUAUGUCAUGACGGUUUCAUUAUACAUUUAAACAAAAUGUUGAUAAUUAAAGCCGCCCUCAUUAUGCUGAUCUUUCACGCGAUCAAUCUAUAAUUCGUACUUACUAGCAUUUCAGUGUCUGUGCUACUUAUUUUGCUCCUGGGAUUUGAAAAUACAUUCUAAUUAACCGCGUUGAUAGAAAUUAGAAUAACACAAAGUUAAUUGAACUGCAGAAAACUAAUUAUCAGUUCGACUGCGCAUUCGUCAAUUAUUAUGUUUACGCACGCUUGGGACAAUUAGUUCUGAAUCAUGCAAAUUCUAAAAACAUUGUGUUUCAAAGGAUUUGCAGGUUUUUUGAUACACCCUGUAUAACUGACUGAUUUAAUAAUUUAGAAGGUUUUCCUUAGCUAGAGAAUCAUUAGAUAAGACAAUGAUAAUUGAUAUACUGUAGAAAGUAUUGUUGUUGUUGUAAAGAGAGCAUUAGUUUGCAUGAUUCUAUUGUCAUAUUCAAAUGUUAAGAUGGUGCAUUGAAAAUCAGUUGAGUCAUGGAAAAGCGAGAGAGUGAUGAAGAC
rnacentral:lncRNA from 1 species